AUACGUAGGUGGCGAGCGUUGUCCGGAAUUACUGGGCGUAAAGGAUGCGUAGGUGGAUAUUUAAGUGGGAUGUGAAAUCCCCGGGCUCAACCCGGGAACUGCAUUCCAAACUGGAUGUCUAGAGUGCAGGAGAGGAAAGCGGAAUUCCUAGUGUAGCGGUGAAAUGCGUAGAUAUUAGGAGGAACACCAGUGGCGAAGGCGGCUUUCUGGACUGUAACUGACACUGAGGCAUGAAAGCGUGGGUAGCAAACAGGAUUAGAAACCCCGGUAGUCC
rnacentral:rRNA from 1 species